GUGACCUGCGGAAGGAUCAUUAUUGAAUGAAUGUAGAGUCGGUUGUCGCUGGUCCUUCCGGGGACAUGUGCACGCCUUCUCUUUCAUCCACACACACCUGUGCACUCGUGAGACGGAAGCCCUCGGGCGUCCGUCUGCUCUACAUAAACUCAUAUCUAUAAUUUGAAUGUAAUUGAUGUAACACAUCUUUAAACUAAGUUUCAACAACGGAUCUCUUGGCUCUCGCAUCGAUGAAGAACGCAGCGAAAUGCGAUAAGUAAUGUGAAUUGCAGAAUUCAGUGAAUCAUCGAAUCUUUGAACGCACCUUGCGCUCCUUGGUAUUCCUUGGAGCAUGCCUGUUUGAGUAUCAUGAAAUUAUCAAAAUAAUUCUUUUGUUCAUUCAAUUGAAUUUUAUUUUGGACUUGGAGGUCUGCAGAUUCACGUCUGCUCCUUUUAAAUAUAUUAGCUGGAUCUCAGUGAGCUCGGUUCCACUCGGCGUGAUAAGUAUCACUCGCUGAGGACACUAUAAAAGGUGGCCGGGAUUGCGGAUGAACCGCUUCUAAUCGUCCAUUUACUUGGACAACAAUACUUUAUGAUCUGAUCUCAAUCAGGUAGGACUACCCGCUGAACUUAAGCAUAUCAAUAAGCGGAGGAAAAGAAACUAACAGGAUUCCCCUAGUAACGGCGAGUGAAGCGGGAAGAGCUCAAAUUUAAAAUCUGGCGGUGUACUUCGU
rnacentral:rRNA from 1 species